AUCUAAAUAGUUUAUUUAAAAUAUUGAUUUGUGGUGUCAAAGAUAUAGAGAUAUUUUAGGUU
rnacentral:tRNA from 1 species